rnacentral:rRNA from 1 species
UACGUAGGGGGCAAGCGUUGUCCGGAUUUAUUGGGCGUAAAGCGCUCGCAGGUGGUUCGUUGCGUCGUGCGUGAAAGACCCCGGCUCAACUGGGGAGGGUCGUGCGAUACGGGCGAACUGGAGGCCAGUAGGGGGAUGCGGAAUUCCGGGUGUAGUGGUGGAAUGCGUAGAGAUCCGGAGGAACACCAGCGGCGAAGGCGGCAUCCUGGACUGGUCCUGACACUCAUGAGCGAAAGCGUGGGGAGCAAACAGG